UACGUAGGCAGCGAGCGUUGUUCGGAGUUACUGGGCGUAAAGGGUGUGUAGGCGGUUUUCUAAGUUUGGUGUGAAAUUUCCCAGCUCAACCGGGAGGGUGCGCCGAAAACUGGGAGACUAGAGUGCGGGAUGGGAGAGUAGAAUUCCUGGUGUAGCGGUGAAAUGCGUAGAUAUCAGGAGGAAUACCGGUGGGGUAGACGGCUCUCUGGACCGCCACUGACGCUGAGACACGAAAGCGUGGGUAGCAAACAGG
rnacentral:rRNA from 1 species